rnacentral:rRNA from 1 species
CUACUUUUGCCGGCGAGCGGCGGACGGGUGAGUAAUGCCUGGGAAAUUGCCCAGUCGAGGGGGAUAACAGUUGGAAACGACUGCUAAUACCGCAUACGCCCUACGGGGGAAAGCAGGGGACCUUCGGGCCUUGCGCGAUUGGAUAUGCCCAGGUGGGAUUAGCUAGUUGGUGAGGUAAUGGCUCACCAAGGCGACGAUCCCUAGCUGGUCUGAGAGGAUGAUCAGCCACACUGGAACUGAGACACGGUCCAGACUCCUACGGGAGGCAGCAGUGGGGAAUAUUGCACAAUGGGGGAAACCCUGAUGCAGCCAUGCCGCGUGUGUGAAGAAGGCCUUCGGGUUGUAAAGCACUUUCAGCGAGGAGGAAAGGUCAGUAGCUAAUAUCUGCUGACUGUGACGUUACUCGCAGAAGAAGCACCGGCUAACUCCGUGCCAGCA